GGAAGGGGGAGGUCACGUGACGGUCGCGGGCGCCGCCGCCGCCGCUUUGUGAGCGCACUGGGCAGAUUUUGUAUUUUGUACAUACAUUGUUUUGUAUAUACUGUAUAUGAUGACUUCGGUGGGCAGUGAACGUACCCGGGGCACUCGGGACAAAAUGCAAAUUGCAGCCACACAGCCAACACAACCACAGAAACAAGUAGUACAGGCAACAGCAGAACAGAUUCGCCUUGCUCAGAUGAUCUACGAUAAGAAUGACGCAGAUUUUGAAGAUAAAGUGAAACAACUUAUGGAGGUAACGGGGAAAAACCAGGAUGAAUGCAUAGUGGCGCUACAUGAUUGUAAUGGGGAUGUGAACAGAGCAAUCAACAUAUUGCUGGAAGGAAGUUCAGACACGACUUCUUGGGAAACUGUAGGGGGAAAGAAGAAAAGCCUUGGAAAGGAAGGUUCAGAAAACAAAGAGAACAGAGAAAAACGAGGGGACAGAGAAGUGAGUCGCGGACGGGGAAGUUCCAACAGACGGGGAAGAGGAGGCAGCCGUGGACGAGAGUUUAGAGCUGAAGAGAAUGGAGUGGACAACAAUCAAGGAGACAGGCCUUCAGACCGUGGGAAACGUGGCCGUGGGAGAGGGUUUGGACGUGGCAGAGGGAGAGGAACGGGGAGGUUUUCAGCCCAAGGCAUGGGGACAUUUAAUCCUGCAGACUAUACGGAGUCUUCUGCCACUGAUGGCUUUGGGACAAAGUCAGAGAUCUGGGAGACUGGUCAGAAUGAUGCAGAUGAUGGAACUGGAGCAUGGAAAAACUCAAUAGAAGAAUGGACAGCAGAAGACUGGAAUGAAGAUCUUUCUGAAACAAAAGUCUUCACUGCAUCUUCUGUUCCAGCUGAAAAUCAUGUGACUCCUGGGCAAAGCAUUGAUUUGGUGACACUGCUUCAAAAGCCGGUGACAUCUACCCAAGAGACAGAAGCCAACUCAUAUGAGUCUCCCCAGCAGCAGACCUUUGGCCAAGCCUUAGUAUUCACAAAUUCUCAGCAUAGCACCCAGAUGGCAUCAGGAACAGGCAGCUCCAGUGCUGUAAACUCCUAUUCUCCUCAAAGUCUGUCGGCAGUUCUUUGUUCUGGCUUUGGAGAGCUCAGAUCCUCUAAAUUGGCAAACUCUACUGGUUCCCAAAUCUUGGACCAAUUGAAAUCACCAGGAUUGGGUCAGUUUACAUCUCACCAAACCAAUAGCAGUUCUGCCACCACUAGCACAGUUGCUGCGUCAUCCUGGGAUCUAAAACCACCUAAUACUCAGUCCUCAGUCCUCAGUCAGUUUGACUUUAAGUCCCAGCCUGAGCCAUCUCCAGUUCUGAGCCAGCUGACACAGCGACAACAGCAAAUGCAGGUGGUUCCUGUUCCUCCUCCUGGGCUGGAGUCAUCCUCCUCCCAGAUAAAACUACAAGAGCCAUCACCAGUAGACACCUCCACAGCUGUUAGCAAAAUACUACAGCUCCCCACUAUCUCUAUGGAUAACCAGGCAGUGACUGUUCAUCAAACCCAGCAGAAACAGAUAAAACCACCAAAAAGGAGGAUAACUCCAGCAUCCAAGAUUCCUGCCUCUGCUGUGGAGAUGCCUGGAUCAGCAGACAUGACAGGGUUAAAUGUUCAGUUUGGAGCUCUUGAGUUUGGAUCAGAGCCUACACUCCCAGAGUUUGGAUCAACUUCAAGCAGUGAGAAUACCAGCCAGGCGACCAACAAUAGCUUAUAUUCAAAAUCUGUGAAGUAUGUUGAUCCUUUGAAUACCUCUUUGCCAAAAUCCAAUACAGUACAGGACUCCACCUACACAACCUCUGUCAUCAGCUCUUCCAGUCUGACCUGCUCAUCCCAGAGCACUAGCCCCAUAACAACUUCCUCCUAUGACCAGACUUCUGUGCAUAGCAGGAUAGCGUACCAAAGCUCCAUGGCUCCGUCUGAACCAGCCCCUGUUGCAGUUACGAAUGGGCACAGUGGUGUUAGGACACAGGCAACACUUGACACUACUUCUUCAGUUGCAGCACCUAAGACAGAGCCUUCUCCUUCACUACCUUCAGCUGGUUCUCUGCCUAGUGUGGCAUCCACCACGGCCUCUCUUCUGCCUUCAGCAUCACAGCAUGUGGCAGCGUUACCCAGCUUGCCUCAGUCCAGUGAUCUGGCCAGCAGCUCACUCUCCCAGCUGAGCAGCUCCCUUUCCAGUCAUCAGAGCAGCCUCUCUCCUGCCUCAGUGUUGUCUUCAAGCACAUCACAUGUGCACACUAGUAUUGAGAACACAACUUCGCUCCAGCCCUCAACAACCUUUUCAACUGCUUCAACCUCAGCCACUAGCACCACCUCCUCGGUUGUCAGCAUGGCAAGCAGUAUGAACACUACAAACAGCCUUGGCCUGAGUGUUACCAGUGUGUCUAUACCAGCUGCUACCACACGGGCAGCUCCCUUAGUGUCUUCAGGCAAAGCUCCCCCAAACCUGCCCCAAGGUGUACCACCCUUGUUGCAUAACCAGUAUAUUGUGGGACCUGGAGGACUUCUGCCUGCCUACCCACAGAUUUAUGGUUAUGAUGAUCUCCAGAUGCUUCAAUCCAGACUGCCAAUGGAUUACUAUGGAAUUACAUUCCCUGCUCCUGCAACCUUGACAGGCAGAGAUGGGAGCCUUGCUAACAACCCAUACUCAGGUGAUGUAACAAAAUUUGGCCGUGGAGAUUCCGCCUCUCCUGCUCCUGCAACCACACUGGCCCAGCCGCAGCAGAACCAGACUCAGACUCACCACACGACUCAGCAGCCCUUCCUCAACCCGACCCUGCCUCCAGGGUACAGCUACACUGGGCUCCCUUACUAUGCUGGAAUGCCCGGUGUUCCCAGUGCAUUCCAAUAUGGGCCAACCAUGUUUGUACCUCCAGCAUCUGCAAAACAGCAUGGAGUCAACCUGAACACGGCGUCGACUCCCUUCCAGCAGGCGAGUGGCUACAGCCAGCAUGGCUACGGUGCAGGCUACGAUGACUUAACACAGGGAACUGCAACUGGGGAUUACAGCAAAGGAGGCUACAGUGGAUCAUCUCAAGCACAAAACAAAUCGGCUGGCGCUGGACCUGGGAAAGGUGUUUCUGUGACCUCAAGUAACACGGGUGUGCCUGAUAUCAGUGGCUCAGUCUAUAACAAGACUCAGGUGAGGAGUGUUGGACCCUCCUCCCUCAGUCCCCAAGGCUGAUGACUCCUACUCCCAGGCUGGCCAGUCUCAGGGUCAGCAGGCCACGGCAUCUCCUAACACUGGCUCUGUCUGCUGCUGGAGUGAAGUCUCAUCCUCUGUCCCACUGUUUCUGCGGUGUCAGCACCUGACAGCAGCUGCUGGCAGAGGCUCAGUGCUCCCUGUGCUGCACACUGCCUACACUACACCAUGCCAUCAGUGUCCUGGGUGCAAAUGAAGUUAUGGGUGUUAGCAUUUUUAGUACAAAUAGUCCCCAAAGCAGACAUUUGACAAGCAGGGAUUCCAUGCUGGCACUCCGCCUCCCUUCAGCCUGCCUUCUGCUCUCGGAUCGACUGGGCCCCUGAACCCUGGUGCUGCCCCAGGUUAUGCUCCAGCCCCGUUUCUCCAUAUCCUCCCUG